UUGUCCUGUGACUGCGUACCUUUUGUAUAAUGGGUCAGCGACUUAUAUUCAGUGGCAAGGUUAACCAUCUAGGGGAGCCGUAGGGAAACCGAGUCUUAACUGGGCGUUCAGUCUCUGGAUAUAGACCCGAAACCAGGUGAUCUAGCCAUGGGCAGGUUGAAGGUUGAGUAACAUCAACUGGAGGACCGAACCGACUAAUGUUGAAAAAUUAGCGGAUGACUUGUGGCUAGGGGUGAAAGGCCAAUCAAACCUGGAGAUAGCUGGUUCUCCCCGAAAGCUAUUUAGGUAGCGCCUCGGACGAAUACUACUGGGGGUAGAGCACUGUUAAGGCUAGGGGGUCAUCCCGACUUACCAACCCUUUGCAAACUCCGAAUACCAGUAAGUACUA
rnacentral:rRNA from 1 species